CCUACGGGAGGCAGCAGUGGGGAAUAUUGGGCAAUGGGCGAAAGCCUGACCCAGCAACGCCGCGUGAAGGAAGAAGGUCUUCGGAUUGUAAACUUCUUUUAUGAGGGACGAAGGACGUGACGGUACCUCAUGAAUAAGCCACGGCUAACUACGUGCCAGCAGCCGCGGUAAUA
rnacentral:rRNA from 1 species